rnacentral:lncRNA from 1 species
GUUUUUUUUCUUUUCUUUUUGUUUUUCUUGUUUUUUCAUUUUUCUUAUUUUCACUCAUUCAUCAUCAUCUUUAUUCUUUACUUCUGUUGUUGAUUCCAAAAGUGGGGUAUGAAAGAAAAUAAAUAAGGCUCAGAAAGGGUAGCAAAGGAUGAAAGUGUUUAGGUAGCUGAACAAAAUUCCUUCGUCAUUUCAACUUUGAAUAUGCCAAGUACAAAAUAAAACUGAAGGUAAGCAAGAAAAUCAUACAUAGUACCUCUUAACUGCAUCAUAAUUGAUGGCCAUAUCUGCACAUUUGCCUUCUAUGUCUGUUAAAUACAAAGCACCAUUGAACAACACUCUUGUCAACGAAUGGCUCCUAGUUCAACACAUGUGAGAAGGUGUGAUUCUGUUUCAGAUAUGGAUCACUGGAAGGCAUGGUAAUAUUUGUAAACAUGUUUCAAUGAGUAUGAAAAUCCUAACUUAGAACUUGAAACCUUAAAAAGAGACGAGGUCAAAGAACACGCUACUCUAAUGGCUGAAGGCCUUCGACAUACUUAAUCAUAAGUAAAAACAGUAAUAUACUAACUUCUGGUCGACACACUGAAUACACAUGGUAUACUACAGUGAGACAUAGUCCAAACUAAAUUAACCACGACUCAAAUUAACACAUUUAAGCAACUUGAAUAAGCACGUAUAAGAACAUAACUCCAAUCAAAAUUAACCACGAUUCAAAUUAACACAUUUAAGCAACUUGAAUAAGCACGUAUAAGAACAUAACUCCAAUCGAUCUCUUAGACAUAAGCAAAAUUUAACCUUCAAACAUUUAAAGCAAACUGAACACACGAAGAGAAGAUCACUCGGACUGAUUCGGAAUUAACUCAAGAACACCAAUUUUCACAUAAAAAUUGAAUAGGGAGGAAAGGGACCUGAAACGGCAAGAACUUUAAUUAAUUUGCUUGAAUGCCAAAUACAGCUAAGCAAACAUCAACCAAAUUCGAACAAGGCUAAACUGAAUUUGCUCGGCCCAAAUGGAACCGCAAUGAAUCUCGAUUUACAAGCACUAAACAGCUCGAAAAAACUCGACUCCAUGGCAACCUCUGACAAACUCCGUAUUGAACUCGAAAUUCGAAGUGGACUGAAUUUGCUCGGCACGAAUGGAACCGCAAUGAACCUCGAUUUACAAGCACUAAACAACUCGAAAAAACUCGACUCCAUGGCAACCUCUGACAAACUCCGUAUAGAACUCGAAAAUCGAAGUGGAAAGGAGUAAUAGAAUAUUAUGUACUUUUUUUAUUCUUUUUUUUUUUGAAAUAGAACAAAACCUGAACAAAAACCAAACUCAAACUGUUUUUUUUUUUUUUUUUUUUUUUUUUUUUUUUUNNNNNNNNNNNNNNNNNNNNNNNNNNNNNNNNNNNNNNNNNNNNNNNNNNNNNNNNNNNNNAAACUUUUUUUUUUUUUUUUUUUUGUAUUUUUGUCUUUCUGGAAUUUGAACUCAACUAAAAAUGGAUCCAAAAUGAGAAGAAAAUAAUAAACUCCCUAUAGAACCCUAAUUUUUUUACCUCCCUUUUCUCUCAAUUUCUUUUUCCUAAAAUCCUCCUCUAUAUAUAGAGGCUAGAACCUUCUAUGCUUCCUCCCCACGAAAUCUGAAAUCCAUUUCCAUAUAAAAAAUCAGAAAAAUGGAGGGCUUUGGAUCAUAAUUACCUUAUCCGAGGUCCACAUGUUACUAAUCUUUUACCUAAUAGAUCCGGGUUUGCUCCAAGAGGAAUGAAAACCGCGUGGAAAUCUGGAUGAAAUCAUUUUGUUGCCAGAGUUUGUUAGGGUUUAGUAACGUGGAAGAAGGGAACGAGAGGAGGGGGGACCAUGAGGGGACCAUGUGAGUGAACUUGCCGGGUUUGGGGGAGUUCCGGCGAUUUUGAAGUGGCAGGGUCGCGAGCAGAGUGAAGAGAACAAGGGGGGUCGCCGUUUGGUGAGAGUCUCUUUAGGGUUGAGGUUUUGGGGAAUAUUAGGUUUUUAUGUUAUGGUGGGGAUUACUAUGGGUCAUUGGAUAAAGGGGGAUGAAUGGCCGAGAUUAAAAUUAAAACGGGGCGGGUUUUGGGUUGAAAAUGGGUUAGGAGGAAUUGGGUUGCCAGAUUGGGCCUUUCCUUGUAUAAAAUUGGGCUAAAAUUUGUGCUUCUUCAAUUUUUCAAAGUCCGUUAAAUAACCACCCCAAUCUUUUAAAUUAAAACUAAACUAAUUUCAAUUAAUUAAAUAAACUAUGUAAUAAUAUGAAACUAUAUAUAUAUAAUAUCAUGUUUUAUAUAAAAAGUAAGAGUGAAAAUCAUAACAUAUAUAUAUAUAUAUAUAUAUAUAUAUAUGGCUAUAAAUAUUAAUAACCUAAACUAAAUAGAAAUAAGGUAAAAUAUGAUACUAUAUAAAUUAUUAUACUCAAACUAAAAGUAGAAAUCAUUGUAAAAACAAAAUAUAUUACUAGAAUACUAAUGGUCUUAAGUUAAAAUAAGAAAAUGUAUAUAAUGAAACUAUUAUAUAUAUUUCAAUUUUUUUUCAAUUUUUAUGCCUUUAAAGAUAGAAUUAAAAAUAAUAAAAGUCAAAAAUGUUAUGACCAUUAAAAGUAAUUCUAAUGCGUAAGUCAAAUAUUACAUGUCUAUAGCUGCCCCUCUUUGACGGGAAACACAAGGUGUUUUCAGACAAAGAACAAUAAGACAUGAUUUUUGACCCAACCCUUAUUUAAAGAGAGACCAAAACCUAGAGAAAGAAAAUGUGGUCGAGCCCUGGUCUCGGAGCUGCCUACAUAUUCUUGGCUAUAAAGGAAUCGAGCCACGUGUAGUUCGAAGUGAGAAGUGCGACGGAGUACCGAGGUGGAAAGUAGAUUCGAGUGUCGUCGAGGUUCCAGUUCGUGGUUUCUGCCAUUACAUCAAAAAUAAAAGGGAAACAUUACAGCAAAAUUUAAAGAUAAAUACAAUAUCCUAUCUAUCUUCUUGUCUUGAAACAUCCUUUAAUCUCUACUUGAACUACAAUAUGCAACUGAAAAAUGGACCCUGCUCUUCAGGCAGGCUCCUGAUGCUUCUUGAAUUUGUGAGUUGAAGUAACUCUGAAAUUAAUUCUCUUGUUCUCCAGGUGGGCGCCUGAUUGCUAAAACUUGAAAUGUAUUCCCUCGUUAUCCAGGUGGGCGCCUGAUUUCCAAAUAUUGAGUGUAUGCCCUCAUUAUCCAGGCCUGAUUGCAAUUACUUGAAAUGUAUUCCCUCGUUCUCCAGGUGGGCGUCUGAUUGCAAAGACUUGAAAUGUUUUUUCUCGUUCUCCAGGUGGGCGCCUGAUUGCAAAAACUUGGACUGUAUUCCCUCGUUCUCCAGGUGGCCACCUGAUUGCAAAGACUUGAAAUGUAUUCCCUCGUUAUACAGGUGGGCGCCUAAUUGCAAAAACUUGGAUUGUAUUCCCUCGUUCUCCAGGUGGGCGCCUGAUUGCAAUGACUUGAAAUGUAUUCCCUCAUUCUCUAGGUGGGCGCCUGAUUGCAAAAACUUGGACUAUAUUCCCUCGUUCUCCAGGUGGACGACAGAUCACAAUGACUUGAAAUGUAUUCCCUCGUUCUCCAGGUGGGCGCCUGAUUGCAAAGACUUGAAAUAUAUUCCCUCGUUAUCCAGGUGGGUGCCUGAUUAUAAAAACUUGAAAUGUAUUCCCUCGUUAUCCAGGUGGGCGCCUAAUUGUAAAAACUUGGACUGUAUUCCCUCGUUAUCCAGGUGGGCGCUUGAUUGCAAAAACUUGGAAUGUAUUCCCUCGUUGUCCAGGUGGGCGCCUGAUUGCAAUUACUUAAAAUAUAUUCCCUCGUUCUCCAGGGGGCGCCUGAUUGCAAAGACUUGAAAUGUAUUCCCUCGUUAUCCAGGUGGGCGCCUGAUUACAAAAACUUGAAAUGUAUUCCCUCGUUAUCUAGGCGUGAGCCUUAUUGCAAAAACUUGGACAGUAUUCCCUCGUUCUCCAGGUGGGCUCUUGAUUGCAAAGACUUGAAAAGUAUUCCCUCAUUAUCCAGGUGGGCGCCUGAUUGUAAAGACUUGAAAUGUAUUCCCUCGUUAUCCAGGUGAGCGCCUGAUUGCAAAGACUUAAAAUGAAUUCCCUCGUUAUCCAGGUGGGCGCCUGAUUGCAAAAACUUGAAAUGUAUUCCCUCGUUAUCCAGGUGGACGCCUGAUACUGCAACAAAACAGACAAAACAAAAGAAACUUUUUCUUCCCCGGUUUGGAUAUCCUGGUGGACGUCUGAAUCAUGCCAAUUUUGAUGUGCCUGGCAUGAAUCCUCUUUGUGCAAUUUAGAAGCUGGUAGUAGGCUUUGAAAUCCUUUCCUGCUUGUUUAAUAAGGGCUAACUAGGAAGAAACUCAUAAAUAUAGACUUAAGGAGUAAAAUGAAAUGAUUUUUUAUCAAAGGAACAAAUGAAAAUUUUGAACACAAAUGAUUAUGCAGAAAAGAAUGAGAAAGAGAGGACUUAUCUGAGUGAAGUGGCCGACCCCAGUGAUCAUGCCAUGCAUUUCAGACUUAUCAACCUAAUUCGUCCAACCAAUCAUAUUUUCAGUUCAUGCCAUGUCUUCAUUCUUCAAUACCGGACUUUCACUAAUCCAAUUUCGCUAGAAAUUUAUGAGCCUCAUUAGACUUGCAGUGCCCUAAAAAGGUUUUCACCGACAAGCCUCUAUCAUUUGAUCAUCUCUCAUCUCACCAUCGCCUUAUGGUGCCCGAGAGGGUUUUCACCAAUAAGACUCUUCUUCGAGGGUUUUCACCAAUAAAACUCUCUUAUUUUAAAUUUUCUCUCUUGCGCCAAGUACAAAAUAAAACUGAAGGUAAGCAAGAAAAUCAUACAUAG